rnacentral:tRNA from 2 species
GGUGGGGUUCCCGAGCGGCCAAAGGGAGCAGACUAUAAAUCUGCCGUCAUCGACUUCGAAGGUUCGAAUCCUUCCCCCACCACCA